rnacentral:rRNA from 1 species
CUGCCGAUACUUUGUAUGUCGCGCGGAAUGUAGCGUUUGGGAGGGCCUCGUUCUUUAGUGGCAGUCUUGUCCAAGUCUACCUGGACUGGGGCCAUAGCCCAUAGAGGGUGAUAGGCCCGUGGGACGGACGUUUUGCUGCUGGAGACGGCUGCGAGAAAUCGCUUCGCUCCCUAGAGUCGAGUUGCUUGGGAGUGCAGCUCAAAGUGCGGGGUAGACUUCCCGUAAAGCUAAAUAUGACCCCGAGACCGAUAGCGAACAAGUACCGUGAGGGAAAGUUGAAAAGGACUUUGAAGAGAGAGUUCAAGAGUACGUGAAACUGUCGAGUGGUAAACGGAGGGGCCCUCGAAGUGAGCGCUGUAGAUUCAAGCCCGGGGCAGACGAGAAUGGACAUAGAGAUGCCGUUUUAUGGCAGGUGAGGAUUUCGUGUUCUCAUUAUGGAUCUGUUAAAGGACCAGUCUCUUGUUUAAUUUUUGACGCCCGAGGCAGCAUUUCUGCAGUGCGUACCCGGCGAACCGCUGAUAAUUUUUUAAAAUAGACCGAUGAUUGGCAUUUAGUGUUGCGAAAUUUUGUU